rnacentral:rRNA from 1 species
AUUGAACGCUGGCGGCGUGCUUAACACAUGCAAGUCGAACGAAGUGGCGAACGGGUGAGUAACGCGUAAUCAACCUGCCCUUCAGAGGGGCACAACAGUUGGAAACGACUGCUAAUCCCUCAUCCUGAAGGAGGGGAUUGCGUCUGAUUAGCUAGUGGGAGGGGUAACGGCCCACCAAGGCGAUGAUCAGUAGCCGGGCUGAGAGGAGGAACGGACACAGUGGGACUGAGACACGGCCCAGAAUCCUACGGGAGGCAGCAGUUGGGAAUCUUCCGAAAUGGACGAAAGUCUGACGGAGCAACGCCGCGUGAGUGAUGACGGCCUUCGGGUUGUAAAGCUCUGUUAAUCGGGACGCGGUACCGGAAUAGAAAGCCACGGCUAACUACGUGCCAGCAGCCGCGGUAAUUC